rnacentral:misc_RNA from 1 species
GGUAGGAUUGUAGGACCUAACAAUUUGAGCUACUAUACAAAGACAAAACAAGAGGUCUGGCUUCCCAAAAAGAGGUGGUUAAUAAAUAGUCAUAGCCGUUGUGGGGACCCCACCAUUUUAACUUUGCUUCAAGUCCAACCACAACCGCACUUUUUCAUCCAAUCCCUUUUUUCCACAUCCUCGCUUGCGUCCAUCCAGCCAAUCUCGCUAGAAUUGAAGCAAUAUAUUUAUGGAAAUUUUACAAAGAUGAAGGUCUACUUUCUAGUUGCUACUUCAUCUUAUGCAUACUUUUGUCCUACUUCCCCAAGCUUCCAUCUCUGAUGCCAGGAGCCAUCCAAGUUUCAGGUACUAGAGUACUAUAUCUUCUUAACCAUAAUUCAAACCUGGCAAUUACUUUGAUGCUUGUUUUGUUUCAAAUCCAGUUCUGGAAUUCAUGGCUCUUCAAUCAUCGUCAUCCCUUGCACAAAUGUCCAUAAAGAUUUCCAUGGGUAAAAGAGAGCAUCAAACUUGGGAUAAGGGGGAGUUCUCUUUUCCAUUAACAACUCUUCGCGACAAUUUGAUAGUUACACUUCAGGCUGCUCAAGGAAAAGAAAUA